AGCGAACGCUGGCGGCAGGCCUAACACAUGCAAGUCGAACGAAGUCUUCGGACUUAGUGGCGGACGGGUGAGUAACACGUGGGAACGUGCCUUAGGUUCGGAAUAACUCAGGGAAACUUGUGCUAAUACCGAAUGUGCCCUUCGGGGGAAAGAUUUAUCGCCUUUAGAGUGGCCCGCGUCUGAUUAGCUAGUUGGUGAGGUAAAGGCUCACCAAGGCGACGAUCAGUAGCUGGUCUGAGAGGAUGAUCAGCCACAUUGGGACUGAGACACGGCCCAAACUCCUACGUGAGGCAGCAGUGGGGAAUCUUGCGCAAUGGGCGAAAGCCUGACGCAGCCAUGCCGCGUGAAUGAUGAAGGUCUUAGGAUUGUAAAAUUCUUUCACCGGGGACGAUAAUGACGGUACCCGGAGAAGAAGCCCCGGCUAACUUCGUGCCAGCCGCCGCGGUAACAC
rnacentral:rRNA from 1 species